GCCGGGUGCGAUGGCUCAUGCCUGUAGUCCCAGCUACUCUGGAGGCUGAGGCUGGAGGAUCGCUUGAGUCUAGGAGGUCUUGGCCUGUAGUAUGCUAUGCCGAUUGGGAUCGGCUGUCCCGCUAAGUUCGGCAUCAAUAUGGUGACCUCCUGGAUGCGGGGGACCACCAUGUUGCCUAAGGAGAGGUGACUCGGCCCAGGUCGGAAACGGAGCAAGUCAAAACUCCCGUGCUGGUCAGGCACGGUGGCUCACACCUGUAAUCCCAGCACUUUGGGAGGCCGAGGCGGGUGGAUCACAAGGUCAAGAGAUCGAGACCAUCCUGGUCAACAUGGGGAAACCCCGUCUCUA
ensembl:misc_RNA Metazoa_SRP Metazoan signal recognition particle RNA